rnacentral:rRNA from 1 species
AUUGAACGCUGGCGGCAUGCUUUACACAUGCAAGUCGAACGGUAACAGGUUAAGCUGACAAGUGGCGAACGGGUGAGUAAUGCAUCGGAACGUGCCCGAUCGUGGGGGAUAACGCAGCGAAAGCUGCGCUAAUACCGCAUACGAUCUGAGGAUGAAAGCGGGGGACCGUAAGGCCUCGCGCGAUCGGAGCGGCCGAUGUCAGAUUAGGUAGUUGGUGGGGUAAAGGCACACCAAGCCGACGAUCUGUAGCUGGUCUGAGAGGACGACCAGCCACACUGGGACUGAGACACGGCCCAGACUCCUACGGGAGGCAGCAGUGGGGAAUUUUGGACAAUGGGCGCAAGCCUGAUCCAGCAAUGCCGCGUGCAGGAAGAAGGCCUUCGGGUUGUAAACUGCUUUUGUACGGAGCGAAAAGGCUCUCUCUAAUACAGGGGGCUCAUGACGGUACCGUAAGAAUAAGCACCGGCUAACUACGUGCCAGCAGCCGCCGUAAGAC